rnacentral:tRNA from 1 species
UGACUAGUAGCUCAGUCGGCAGAGCAGCGGAUUGUUAAUCCGUGGGUCGUUGGUUCGAAUCCAACCUAGUCAG